GACAUAACUCACUCAGUAGAGCAUGAGACUCUUAAUCUCACUGUCGUGGGUUCGAGCCUCACAUAGGACA